rnacentral:rRNA from 1 species
AUUGAACGCUGGCGGCAUGCCUAACACAUGCAAGUCGAACGGCAGCGCGGGGGCAACCCUGGCGGCGAGUGGCGGACGGGUGAGGAAUGCAUAGGAAUCUGCCCGGUUGUGGGGGAUAACGUAGGGAAACUUACGCUAAUACCGCAUACGACCUUCGGGUGAAAGUGGGGGACCUUCGGGCCUCACGCGAUCGGAUGAGCCUAUGCCCGAUUAGCUAGUUGGCGGGGUAAGAGCCCACCAAGGCGACGAUCGGUAGCUGGUCUGAGAGGAUGAUCAGCCACACUGGGACUGAGACACGGCCCAGACUCCUACGGGAGGCAGCAGUGGGGAAUAUUGGACAAUGGGCGCAAGCCUGAUCCAGCAAUGCCGCGUGUGUGAAGAAGGCCUUCGGGUUGUAAAGCACUUUUAUUCGGGAAGAAAUCCGUGUGGUUAAUACCCGUACGGGAUGACGGUACCGAAAGAAUAAGCACCGGCUAACUUCGUG